UGCGUAGGCGGAUUAAUAAGUCAGUGGUGAAAACCUGCAGCUUAACUGCAGACCUGCCAUUGAUACUGUUAGUCUUGAGUACGGUCAAGGUAGGCGGAAUGUGUAAUGUAGCGGUGAAAUGCUUAGAUAUUACACAGAACACCGAUUGCGAAGGCAGCUUACGGGGCCAUUACUGACGCUGAGGCACGAAAGCGUGGGGAGCGAACAGGAUUAGAUACCCUGGUAGUCC
rnacentral:rRNA from 1 species